rnacentral:lncRNA from 12 species
AUGCCCAGUGCAGCAGCCCCGUUGAAUCUUGGUGCUGGCUUCAGGCCGGGGAGCUUAGCACAUGGGCUUUCCUUUCUCCACGAGGAACAGAAGGCAGGCACGGCUUGCUUAGAGUCCACGUGCAAGGGAGGAGAUGCUUUCUCCUUUUCUGGAGUUCCGUCUCAUGCCUACGUUUCGGCUCUGACACAUGAGGCCACAUCCCACUUCUGGAAAGUGCCCCACUCAGACUGUAAGGGUGCUUCUUGGCCACACUUCCGAUGUUGGGUUUGUCGUUCCCCCGCCCCCGUCCUGCCAACAUUGUGUCCCUUCCGCCUGGCUCUGGAGACGGUAUGCCCUGGCCACCACCAGAGCCAGAUAAAGCAUGUUGCAGGCUCUGAGGCGAGGAUGCCAGUCCCCUUUGGAACCUUAGCUGUUGUGUGCGGCGGGACACAUGGCGCAGGGCAUGAUGCCCAGCUGGGUCGCUCUGUCACCCAGGGUUUUGGGGUUGACUCUUGCUAGCCAUGUUGGGUUCAGGGGGUUCCUGGGUGGAGACAGGCUGGUUUAUAGGACAGAAAGGAAAGAUGGAUACCAGAUUACGGGUUGGACAGGAGCGGCAAAGUACCCAGGGUCCAGGAGUAGGAGCAAUGAGCCACCUGGGGGUGGAGCAGGCCAGGGUGCUGUGGACAUCAAUUGGCUCCAUUUUAUACACGAGUGACUGAGAGUCAGAGAGGAAGGGACUUGCCCAGGGUCAGGUGGCUCACUGCAGGCACCGCCGGCCCUGGACCCUAGCCCCCUGAUGUGGUGUGGUGGGACCAGCCCAGGUCUCUAAAGACUGGGGCCCCUGCAAGGGUCCAUUCUGCAAAGCUCGAGGUCCUCGCAGCAAGAGUGCCUAUCCCAUGGCUCCUUCGCCUCCCAGAUCCUGACCCCUUGGGCCAUGCAUUGCUUAUUUUGAAUUGGCAGGCAGCCUGCGCCCCAGGCAGAGGGAGGGGGACUUAGGCAGGACCGGGGUGUGACUCAUUUCUGUCUACCCAGCCAAGUGCCAAACAGAGAGGCUGGCAAGCAGGAGCCAGUCCACAGCCACUAACUAGCAACUGAUACCCUGCUCAGAGUGGCCAGGCCUCAAUUCACUCAUAGGUCACCAAAGAAUGGCCUUGGCAGGACACCAGUCCUGGCCUCUCUGACCACCAGCAAGCCCCCUAGUCAAUAUUUGCUCCCAUGAUGAGCCCCUCCCCUCCUUGCUCCGGCCACGUGACAGACUUGCUGGCCCUCCUUCCCCACACAGAGUCAAGCAUGUGGUCCACCUCGCCUAGAACGCCCUGCCCCCGUUUCCUCCCAGCGCCACUAGCUUGGCAUGAAAGAAUCCCGGCAGUCAGAAACCCACACGUCUGGCUUCACAGCUUCCUGCUGUGGAUCUCAGGCAAGUUGCAUGGCUUCUCUCUGCCUUGUUUCCUCCUUUGUAACAUGAGACCUCCCUCCCUUGCCGGAUUACUGUAAAGAUUGGAAGUAAGGUGGGCAAACACCAAUGCCUAGCACAGAGCAGAUGCCAGCUACAAUUCUGUUACUUUCUGCCUAACGCCUGGCAUCUCCCUGCAGGACCAGCCUGGAGGAAUGUUCCAGGCCCGAAGGUUGCUCUCUUGGGCAGACAAUUACCUUGAUCUGGGUCAUUUGGAUAGCACUUUCCAGAUGCUACCCUGUAUUGCACUCGUGGCAAACAGGAACGUUUUGGCUGCUUAAACCCAAGCCAAAUAAAAAACUGACUGUCAUCA